rnacentral:lncRNA from 1 species
ACUGGAUGGUGAAGAAAGAUCAUUCUAUCAACUCCCUGUCGGAUGUGAUGGUCAUUUAGCUCUUUGUAUCUUUCUGGGUGGUUGGCUCUGUAGGCUGGUCACUUAGUUAGAUUGUUUUGUUGCUGGUCUGAACUUGUGUGGGUUUUUGCUUCCUUUGAAACUGGUAUCCCCAGUAUGUAAUGACUCUGUUAUUGGCUUUCUUAAAAGCCGAGGUAAUCUCCUUUAAAAAAAAAAGGCCUAGGCCAGGCAGAUACUUAUCAAAACAUACACAACUUGGAAUUUAUUUUUAGGUGUCUUGGUUAGCAGUGGGCAUUGAACUUGCAACUUGUUGUUAGGAGUCUUUGUAAGCAGUGGCGUUAAAUUUAUUUCCUUUCCACGCACUAGUUCUCUGAUGUCUGAUUAACUCACUGAUUUUUUCCCCCUGUGCUCCAUGUUUCCCCUCAUUUGCUUCCUUACUGAUGCUCUGUAAGUAGGUUAAAACAGACUACUGUCAGUGACAUGGACCGAGUUGGAUGCAAGAAACUGCAGCCAGUAGAUGACGAAAAAGGAACAAUUUGUAUGUAUGUUUUUCUAAUAGCAUAGUACACUGACAAGAACAUGAUUUUAUACUACAAGGUCAAGGACUGAUCCCAGUCCUACAAAGCCAGAUGCCCAGAUCUAUCUGAGGUACAAGAUUCAAGAUUGAGGCGCCAUGUAGCGAGCCGAGCUAGAAGCAGUCUGCAGGUUUCUGAAAGCAGAGCAGGCAAAGGAGGCGCGGAGGUGAAUAGGCUGUGUGCCCCUGCCCCGUGAGGCUGGGACCAAAUCGCAUGUACCUGAAGUGCGCUUGCGUGAGUUGGGACUGGGAGCGUCUCGGCCGUCACCUCUGGUCCCUCGCCGGUCGCGCUGCUCCUCCUCCACGGGGUGCCGACUAUCUCCUCUUGACCUCUCCGACCGCCGUGCUCCUCUCCGCCCCGGCGCGCCAUGGCCGUGCCCGUGAGAUCUGUGAGUCUGUCUGUUUUUUUUUUGAGCAACAGAGAGUCUGUCUGCCUGUAUGGGCCUGGACGCCGGGCCCAGAGUUUUGAGCCUUCUUCGCUUGCUCCAGCGGACGGCCCACCGUUUCAUUAUUACUCCU